rnacentral:rRNA from 1 species
AGCGAACGCUGGCGGCGUGCCUAACACAUGCAAGUCGAACGUGAAUGGGGGCAACCCCUAGUAAAGUGGCGUACGGGUGAGUAACACGUAGGUAAUCUACCCUAGAGUUUGGAAUAACCUGCCGAAAGGCGGGCUAAUACUAGAUAGAGCGACGGAAUCCGUAAUUGGGUUUUUCGGGAAAGGGAGCUCGCAAGAGCCCUCGCUUUAGGAUGAGCCUGCGUCCCAUUAGCUAGUUGGUGGGGUAAUGGCCCACCAAGGCUGUGAUGGGUAGCUGGUCUGAGAGGAUGAUCAGCCACACUGGAACUGAAACACGGUCCAGACUCCUACGGGAGGCAGCAGUGGGGAAUCUUGCGCAAUGGACGAAAGUCUGACGCAGCCACGCCGCGUGAGUGAAGAAGGCCUUCGGGUUGUAAAGCUCUGUCGCCCGGGACGAAAAGGUUUACGGUUAAUAGCCGUAGAUCCUGACGGUACCGGGAAAGGAAGCACCGGCUAACUCUGUGC